GGCGCGAGAUCGACAUGCUCGUGUCCUGCACGCAUCUGUCGGACGAAGACGAUGCUGGCCUCUCGUGAUUCACCACCAGAUCAAGCGGGCGAGGCAGCACGGGGGCCGACGGCACGAGUCAAACAAGCAUGGGUCAUCAUUUGUUCAAAGAAUCCCGCCCUGUAGACGUCCAUGGGCGUAGUGUCCGGAGGACCCGGGUCGGAAAGCGUCCCUUGUCUGCGCCGGAUUACCUCGACCCAUUUCUCGACUCACUGGCUGCCCUCGAACAUCGCCUCUGGUGACAGGUUGCACAGCGUUAUCAGGUCCACUGCAGUGUGCAAGGUCCACCUGGCUCCUGGAGCAGUGAGGUGAACAGCAUCCGUUGCCGCAUACGCAUGUCAGGCCACAUGUGCCAGCUGCGAACAACAGCAACGUGCUCACCGUAAGUGGCGAUGAUGGCGAGGAUCUCCCCACCGCGGACUCGGAACGACAAUCCCUCGAUCGGGAGCAACUUGCUGCCGGACCGCCGAACAGCCGCUGACCCAGGCUGGAGAAGUUCAGCUGGAACGUCAGGUCUCGAACUUGCGUCACAGUGGCCACAUUUAUCGCCACGACAACGAGGCAAUUGACACACUUGUCGGAAAUGCCGACAAACGCUUGGUUACACAUACACACAAAUAAACAGACUCAUGGCAGCGCUGGUCACAAGACCAGAAGAGGACGACGACGGCGGCUUUUAGCGCCGAUGACGUGCAAGACGACUCACGCUUUUGUACCACGAGUCCGACUAAUAAGUAUUUGCCGCGUAGAUCUUCACUAGCCUCAGGAGAGGUUGGGACGGGUCAUCGAAAUAGAGCAUCGGUAACACAGGCUCACCAAGAUACGCUGUUGGUAACGGCAGAGGAAGCGCAAUGAGUGAAACGUUGGUGGAUGGAAUGAAUAGCCCAAAGAACGGAAAAUCACGCACGGCGGCAAAAUGUGAUGUUCAUGGGAGCGUAUUAUAUUCGCGCAAUGUGUUUUUCACCAAGUCACCAAGGUGUUCCGGGACCCGUUCAAGCCUGUACUGCACAACGCAGAUUCUGUGUAGUGCGCGUUAGAGACUUCGUAAUUUAAAUUUGUGCAAGUGGAGCACAAGUAGUGAUAUGAAUUCAUAAUCAGGCUAUCUUAAUGUCCAGCGUUCUCCCAUUACCACUAUCCUGUGCCAGCUAUUUCCAACUUGCACAUGCGAAUUUUCUCAUCAUCCCACCUCGACUGCACUUCCCUUUUCUUGGCGCCCAUUUGGUAACUAUAACGGUCCACCGGUUAUCCCUUCUACGCAAUACAUAGCCAGCCCAGCUCCAUUGUUAUCUCUUCAUGUCUAUUACAAUAGCGGCUAUCCUUGUUUACCGUCUGAUCACAGCGCUCUUUUCCUCUCUGUUAGUGUUACGACUAACAUUCUUCGUCCCAUUGCUCUUUAUGCGGUCUUGUUCUCGAGCUUCGUUGUCAACCUCGAUGUUUCGGCCCCAUACGUUGGCACUGGUAGAAUGCAGUGAUUGUAUACUUUUAUUUUCUGCGUUAGUGUUACGCUCCCAGUCAGGACGUGGCAAUGGCUGUCGUACA